UGGGGAAUAUUGCGCAAUGGGGGCAACCCUGACGCAGCAAUGCCGCGUGCGGGAUGACGGCCUUCGGGUUGUAAACCGCUUUCAGCAGGGAAGAUAGUGACGGUACCUGCACAAGAAGCCCCGGCUAACUACGUGCCAGCAGCCGCGGUAACACGUAGGGGGCGAGCGUUAUCCGGAUUCAUUGGGCGUAAAGCGCGCGCAGGCGGCCGCCUAAGCGGGACCUCUAAUCCUGGGGCUCAACCUCAGGCCGGGUCCCGAACUGGGCGGCUCGGGUGCGGUAGGGGUAGGCGGAAUUCCCGGUGUAGCGGUGGAAUGCGCAGAUAUCGGGAAGAACACCGACGGCGAAGGCAGCCUACUGGGCCGUCACCGACGCUGAGGCGCGAAAGCUAGGGGAGCGAACAGG
rnacentral:rRNA from 1 species